GGCGGAGCGGUCUGGCCCUCCAUUGGUCGAGCCACGCUGAGGGAUAUCUCCAAGAACCAAUCAAAAGCGCGAGUCUCUAACCGAAGUUGUGUGGGGAAUCGCCUAGCAUACCCGUUUUGGAGGUCACAGGUCCUCCGGGCGUAGUUAGUGGCGGAGCAAGCUGUGAGGGGAGGGUCUUCGAGUUGUCGCCCGCGUGAACUCGGGGGCCCAGCGAAUGUCUGAGAGGAACCUUCACUCCAGACCCCGAGUCAGUCCGAACCCAGGUCUCGCUCGUCUCUGCCUCGACGACUUUGUCUUGUACCACUUUCCCCUCUUUUUCCUCUGGGGUCGUUUUGGUCCCUCCCUCUCUCUUCCCCCUCAAAAAGCCGAAUUUCGCAGAUUCUCAACUCUGAGGAGAAAAUUUUGCCGGAAAUUAAAUCCUUCCUUCUAUUAGGCAGUAGUCGGUUGAUGGGAGGGGCUAAAGGUCGCUUGGUGUCUGACAAGAUGCGUUACUGUCUUGCUAAGACCGUCUUUAAUGCUUUGAGGGAAAUAACUUCCUGCAAACCUAGAACUUUCGGAUUACUAUCCAGCUUGAAGGUGCAAUGUGCCUGCUGCUACUGCUAAGUCACUUCAGUCGUGUCCGACUCUGUGCGACCCCAUCCCUGGGAUUCUCCAGGCAAGAACACUGGAGAAAACUUCACCUCCAGAGUAACUGCUCUGCUUCAUAAGUUUCAGCCAUACUUUCAGACCAUCACUGUAGUGAGUAGAAGACACUAAGUUCUAAAAUAAUGUCACUGGGAGUUCGUGAAAGAGGACAGAAAAAGAAGGUACAAACCAGGUACCUGGAAACCCUGAAUACCAAGGCAUGAAACCUUGUCAGCAUAAAUGAACAAGUCCAAGUGCCAAGCAAAGAGGGUAAGCUUUCCAUGUGUAUAAUUCUUGUAACUUUGGGUGGAGUUUGUCCUGUAGUCUUUAUCUUGCCAUCUGAGUUUACAAACUCUACCAGCGUAGCUUGCCCAUUACCUUGAUAUGUGAAAAGUGUAGUGAUAAAGACAUUCAGUGACUUCUGUUUCUUCACAGUGGACUGUCAGUACAUGGGCCUCAGUAUUAGAGGUACACAGGUCCUCUUAAAUAUUGUUUGAUGAUGAUACCAAGUUAAGUGCUUCAGUAUAUCAUAGGAAAGCAAGCCUAAAAUAAUGCAGCACCAGUAUAAAGUACAGGUAUGCUGUCAUGGGCUUCCUUGGUGGCCGAGAUAGUAAAGAAUCAGCCCGCAAUGUGGGAGACCUGGAUUCAAUCCCUGGGUUGGGAAGAUCCCCUGGAGAAGGGAAUGGCUACCCACUCCAGUAUUCAUGCCUAGAGAAUUCCAUGGACAGAGGAGCCUGGUGGGCUACAGUCCCUGGGUCGCAAAGAGUCAGACACGAGUGGUAUGGUAGGCUUGUAAAUGAACAACCAACUCUGUUUGGAGAUUAAGUACCACUUUUGAUGCCCAAAGUAGAGGCAUUAAGCAGGAAAACAUAAAUGCAUUAAUGCAAAAGAUACAGAAUUUUUUGCAGAUGUAAAGAACAGAGUUAUUUUUAUUUAUGUGGGCAUUCUAAUGUCUUUGACCACUCUAAUUGAAAGCAUAAAUCAUAUUUACAUGAACUUAUAUUGACUCUUCCCCCAGUAUUCAUUCAUACUUAUAUUUAGUAAUUUUUUUAAAAAAAUUUUGCUAACCAAUGAUAUUAUUAUUUUUUACAGCUUCUUUAUUCCUUGAUACAACUAUCUCUUAAACUAGAGGUGCUUCUCUUACUACUUGUUUAUGGGUGCCCUUCUUCAAUUUAUCUUCCAUUAUUAAAUAGUCUGCUUUUUCUUAUUUUCCAUGUGUAUUAAGUAUUUAGUCAGUGAAUACUUACAGGCUCUGAAGGCAGUCUGGCUGCAACAUCUGUCACUCCUUUAAUUGCCAAGGUUGUUUCAGCUGAUCUGACUAGCUAGGCAAGUGUCCACUUCCCACCUCACCUCUCCAUGUGUGCCCCUCCCAAAGCUGCACACUCAGUCAAGGAGGACAACCUUCCCUAGUAAGGAGGGCCGUUCUUUGGUCAGGGGUAUGUGAGUAGUUACAGUCCCCUGCUAGGACCUCCAAAGCACCCACAUGGUACCAAGCAGUAGACUUAAAUGCUAGGAAUAUAGCAAUAGACAAGGCAGACUUCACUCCGUAGUCACAAUUUCUGUUUCCAAAUAAGCUUUUCGUCAGUGCUUUGUUAUUCCAGACUCUCACUUCAUUUCUUACUAAUUUAUUUAUGUAACAAAUGGCAGUAAGUAUCUAGUGUACCCAGCACUGUGUGAUAAUAUAAUUGAGAAAAUAGAUGUCAACAGUUAAAUUAUCACACUGUGGUUAAAAUAAUGCAAUGAUGGGCAUGCACUAGAUACAGAAAAUGCAGAAGACAGAUCAUCAACUCUAGCUGGAGAAGUGAGGGAGAAAAUCCCAGAGAUGAUGAUAUUUGAGCUGAAUUUUUAAAAACUAGAAGGCAAAAAGAUGGAAAAAGACUUGAGGCUGAGGAAGGAGCAUUUAGAAGAAGACAUGAAAUAAUGACAUGUUUAAUGUGGUUUUCUCUGCAACAAGUUUUUUGUAAUUUGAGUAUAAGGAACAUGAAGUGCCAUAAAAGGAGAAGAGUCUCUACAGUGGAUGAGAGCCAGACUAUGAACUGUGUUGCUCUUGACUGCCUUGGCAUGCUGAAGACUCACUGCAUGCAUUUUGUUAACUUAAGUGCUUAAUGAGGAAGCAUGGAAAAUGUUCAUCUAACUGUGUCUCACUUCCUGCUAGUUUCUCCCAGGCUUCACCAUGUCUUGCUUCCUAACUGUAGCUGAACACUUCUCCAUAACUUGCCUUUUAACUCUCCAUGUUAAUACUUAAAUGCUAUUUCAGUUAUCACAGUUUUUCUACAAACCAAAUAAUAUUAUGAAAAAUUUGACAUUGUAAAAUUAGAUUUGUAUUAGCUUUUACUAAAAUAUUGUUGGGUUUAAAAUACCACACUUACUUUAUACAACUGAUAUCUUUGUUUAGCUCUCCUGUUUAUAUUCCUUUUUAUGAUUAAUUAAUUUUUUUUCAAAAGCAUAAAAAUAUUUUGUAAGUAAAACAGUAAAGUUGUGAAAUGUUUUUAUUUUGGUUGCAAACAAAACUUAUAUAGCUUCUUCUGUUUUUUAAAAAAUGAGUGUCUCUUUUGUUUUUUGUUUUUGUUUUUGUUUUUUUUUUAUUAUUAUUAUUUUUUUUUUCCAGUGGGUUUUGUCAUACAUUGAUAUGAAUCAGCCAUGGAUUUACAUGUAUUCCCAAUCCCGAUCCCCCCUCCCACCUCCCAUGAGUGUCUCUUUUGAAGAGAUUUCUCCAUAUACAGAGGUACAAAAGCAAGGGGAAGUAAUUUAAAAUACUGUUAAACUAAAUAAAGCCAAUGAAACGUAUAGGAAGGAUCAAGUCAAUAUCUACCCAUUCUUGAACAGGAAAAUCUGAAAAUGGAAGGUGUGUGUAAGCCUUUCCUUAAUUUCGAGAAGCAUGUACUAAGGAUAUAUAUGCUUUUGUCAAAAUCCAUUAUAGUCACUGGAAAUAUAAAAAUGAAAAAUACAGUCCAUACUCUCUGUGGAUUUGUUGUCAAGUAUUAAGUUGAACCACAUGAAAUUGCAUCUUUUUUUUAGGUCAAAAUGUUCAAAUAUCAGUUCAAUCUAAAUACAUGUGUGUGUGUGUGUGUUACAUGUAUAUUAAAUAGAAAUUUACAAUAAUAGAGAUUUGAACAACGUUCCCUGAAAAAGUGCUUUGUGCUGCCCAGAACAGUCUGUGAAAGCUUUCCAGAGAUGACAUUUGAGCUGAAUUUCAGAAAAUGAUUGGGAGUUCACUAUGUGUUCAUGUGAAGUGAAGAGAAUGAGCAUAUUUCAACAAUAGGAAACAGCGUGUGCAGAGUUGUUGAACAGAGAAAGGGCCUAGCUCAUGCAAAUACUUCAGAUUGGUUGGAAUGCCAGGUAUGUGGUAGGUGACAGAAGAGGCAGGCUAAGUAAGCAGAGGGAAGAUGUUAGAAGGUAGGAUGUACCAAGCCACGAUGAUACUGUCCUUGUAAUUGGUGAGUUGUGUAUAGUCCACAGAAUGUGCAACACAACAUGUUAGGGUUCAUAAAGGAAAUAUUACUAGUAAUAUGUAUAUUUUAUCUUUGUCUUGUCUUUUUAAAUUUUCUAACUGUAUAGGGACUACAGUGUAUAUAAUUCUUACUGCAGUACUGAAUGUAAACAAUUUCUAAAUAAAUAAAUAUAUAUGUAUUAC